GUUUGUGACAGAAAUGUACGGUAACGAGGACGGCUCGGUCCCGGCCACCUUUGAUAUCCUCUACAUGAUUGGCUGGAAGCCUCACCACUCUCAGGCAAAAGCAGCCAAACGAGGCUCGGCGACCGUCUCCUUUGGAGAUUUGUCCAAAAUCAACCGAAACGGUGAUGAC